AAAAAGACCAUCAAGUUUUAUGUUGAGGCUAUCCAAGGUUUUCUCAUUGGCAGGUAACUUCUUAUUAAUACAUUCAUUCAUCUUAGCUUGCCCAUAAAUGCGAUCACUAAAGGAGGAUUGAUUGGGAUUGAAAGAGUUACCGUUGUUACCUCCUUGGUAAGGGUGUUGCUGAUUCCACUCUUCGCCUCCUUGUGGACAAUAUCCGUUGUUGUUGCCAUUCAUGUAUAGCACGUCCUCCG
rnacentral:lncRNA from 1 species